CCUACGGGUGGCUGCAGUGAGGAAUAUUGGUCAAUGGACGAGAGUCUGAACCAGCCAAGUAGCGUGAAGGAUGACUGCCCUAUGGGUUGUACACUUCUUUUAUAUGGGAAUAAAACAGGGUAUGCAUACCCUCUUGUAUGUACCAUAUGAAUAAGGAUCGGCUAACUCCGUUCCAGCAGCCGCGGUAAUACGGAGGAUGCGAGCGUUAUCCGGAUUUAUUGGGUUUAAAGGGUGCGUAGUCGGUAUUUUAAGUUAGUGGUAAAACGUCGGGGCUUCACCUUGAUUGGCAAUUAAAACUGGAGUACUAGAGUACAGAAGAGGUAGGCGGAAUAAGUUAAGUAGCGGUGAAAUGCUUAGAUAUAACUUAGAACCCCGAUAGCGAAGGCAGCUUACCAGACUGUUACUGACGCUGAAGCACGAGAGCGUGGGUAGCGAACAGGAUUAGAUACCCUUGUAGUC
rnacentral:rRNA from 1 species